rnacentral:tRNA from 2 species
GGCCCAUUCGUCUAACGGUUAGGACGCGGCCCUCUCAAGGCCGAAAUACGGGUUCGAUUCCCGUAUGGGCUACCA